rnacentral:rRNA from 1 species
CCUACGGGGGGCAGCAGUGAGGAAUAUUGGUCAAUGGACGAGAGUCUGAACCAGCCAAGUAGCGUGAAGGAUGACUGCCCUAUGGGUUGUAAACUUCUUUUAUAUGGGAAUAAAACAGGGUAUGCAUACCCUCUUGUAUGUACCAUAUGAAUAAGGAUCGGCUAACUCCGUGCCAGCAGCCGCGGUAAUACGGAGGAUCCGAUCGUUAUCCGGAUUUAUUGGGUUUAAAGGGAGCGUAGAUGGGUUGUUAAGUCAGUUGUGAAAGGUUGCGGCUCAACCGUGAAAUUGCAAUUGAUACUGGCAGGCUUGAGUACAGUUGAGGUAGGCGGAAUUCGUGGUGUAGCGGUGAAAUGCUUAGAUAUCACGAAGAACCCCGAUUGCGAAGGCAGCUUACUAAACUGUGACUGACAUUGAUGCUCGAAAGUGUGGGUAUCAAACAGGAUUAGAUACCCCUGUAGUC